UGAUUUGUCAAUGUUUAUAUAACACAAAAAUCAGAAUUUUAUAUUUUAUUAUACAUAUUAUUUUAAAAUAUUUAUCUAUUAAUUUUAGUUAAUAUCAUAAAUAUAAUUUUUAAAUUCAAAGAUUUGUGACAUGUUUAAAAUGUCAAAGUUCAAUAUGGAUAAAUUUAUACAUACAUUUAUCCAAAACUUAGGUUUAAGAAUCGAAUCUUGUACUUGCAAGAAAUUUAACAAAAUUGCAUUUAUGACAAAUAUAGAUAAAUCUUAUACAUUGAAACAAUUAUAUCCUGCAGAAGAAAUAAAAGAAGUUAAUGUGCAACAAGAUUUGGAUUUUUCCACAGAAAAAAAUAUAAAAUAUUUUAUGGAAAAACAUGCUAAUCUAUUUGAUAAACUUACCUAUUUAAAUAACACACAAAUUUUAAAUUCUCAUUUAAAAAAUAUUAAUUCAAAGAUUCUUCAGAAAAUAAAAACAAAAAGAAAAUAUAAUGGAAUUAUAAAAAAGGGGGAACUCAAAACACAUAACAAAACUAUAAUUUGUAAUAAAAAACUAAAAACAAAUUUAGCAAAUAAAUUAAAUGGAUCAAAAUACAAUUUAUCAUCAUCUAUAACAUGGAAACAAAAAUAUAUAAAUUCCCAUUGCAAAAAAAAUAAAUUUAAAAAAUCUGCAAUAUUUGAAAAUUCUAAACUAAUUUGUUAUAAUACAAAUAUACAUGAUUAUAAAAAUGAAGACACUUCAAUGAAUAACGAUGAACAAAAAAUUUUUUCUAAACACAAUUUAACAAAUGUUAUGAUAAAUUUUACGAAAAAAGAAAUAGAAAUGACUGAAAAAUUGUUGUUAUUGUAUAUAAAAGAUGUAGAAUAUAUAAAAAGAAAUAUUCAAGUUACUCUAUACAUAACAAAGAAUUCAAAAUUUAAUUAUGAUACAAAGGAUCGAAUAGAAUAUAAUCAAUUACUUUGUCAUCACGCAAUUCUAUGUUUAAUUGAACCAAGUAAAAAAGGUGCUGUUUUAAUUGAAGAUAAUUUACCAGUUAUUAUUAAAAAAUACCUUAUGCAUGGAUACAAAUACCAUUUUGAUUUUCAGAGGAGUUCAAAGAGUUAUUAUACAGCUGUACUUAUUUUGAGUCAAUCAGCUAAAGUUCUGGUUAAACAUAUAAACACAACUAUGAUGCAUACAAUUUGUGGUAUAUUAGGAUGUGAUGUGCAAGAAAUAUUAGUGUUAUAUAAUCCAAGAGAAAAAUAAUUCUAAAUAUUAUUUUUAAAUAUUAAUUUUAUAAAAAAAAAUCUAUGAAUAUAUAUUUAAUAUAAUAUACCAAAUAAAUGAGAUUUGUAUUUUACAUAAGAGGAAAAAUGGUAAAUGAAGAAAUAGUGGAAUUUAAUAAGAAAUCACAACCAAUUUUUAAAAAUCCAAUUUUUCAACAAAAAUUUCGAUCUACUAGUACCACUGGAAAGAAAC